AGAGUUUGAUCCUGGCUCAGAGCGAACGCUGGCGGCAGGCUUAACACAUGCAAGUCGAGCGGGCGUAGCAAUACGUCAGCGGCAGACGGGUGAGUAACGCGUGGGAACAUACCUUUUGGUUCGGAACAACCCAGGGAAACUUGGGCUAAUACCGGAUAAGCCCUUACGGGGAAAGAUUUAUCGCCGAAAGAUUGGCCCGCGUCUGAUUAGCUAGUUGGUGAGGUAACGGCUCACCAAGGCGACGAUCAGUAGCUGGUCUGAGAGGAUGAUCAGCCACAUUGGGACUGAGACACGGCCCAAACUCCUACGGGAGGCAGCAGUGGGGAAUAUUGGACAAUGGGGGCAACCCUGAUCCAGCCAUGCCGCGUGAGUGAUGAAGGCCCUAGGGUUGUAAAGCUCUUUUGUGCGGGAAGAUAAUGACGGUACCGCAAGAAUAAGCCCCGGCUAACUUCGUGCCAGCAGCCGCGGUAAUACGAAGGGGGCUAGCGUUGCUCGGAAUCACUGGGCGUAAAGGGUGCGUAGGCGGGUCUUUAAGUCAGGGGUGAAAUCCUGGAGCUCAACUCCAGAACUGCCUUUGAUACUGAGGAUCUUGAGUCCGGGAGAGGUGAGUGGAACUGCGAGUGUAGAGGUGAAAUUCGUAGAUAUUCGCAAGAACACCAGUGGCGAAGGCGGCUCACUGGCCCGGUACUGACGCUGAGGCACGAAAGCGUGGGGAGCAAACAGGAUUAGAUACCCCGGUAGUCC
rnacentral:rRNA from 1 species